rnacentral:rRNA from 1 species
GUCUACAGCCAUGCCACCCUGAACGUGCCCGAUCUCGUCUAAUCUUGGGAGCUAAGCAUGGUCAGGCCUGGUUAGUACUUGGAUGGGAGACCACCUAAGAAUACUAGGUGCUGCAGUCG